rnacentral:rRNA from 1 species
GCCGGAGCUGCUUUCAUGUGGAUUCAAGAACACUUUGCCACUUGCCCUGCGGAUGCCACUGAUGAUGUGAUCCAGACACAUGCUCGUUUCUAUAUGUGGUACGUUGUCUCGAGGACUUUGUUUCCUAACUCCACAGGCAAGAAUGCUCCAUGGAUGUGGCUGAAGGCGUUGACCGUCUUCGGGAGCGGGUGGAGCUAG